rnacentral:rRNA from 1 species
GAUGAACGCUGGCGGCGUGCCUAAUACAUGCAAGUCGAGCGGUAAGGCCCUUCGGGGUACACGAGCGGCGGACGGCUGAGUAGCGCGUAGGAACGUACCCCAAAGUGAGGGAUAAGCACCAGAAAUGGUGUCUAAUACCGCAUGUGGUCUUCGGAUUAAAGCUUCGGCGCUUUGGGAGCGGCCUGCGUAUGAUUAGCUUGUUGGUAAGGUAAUGGCUUACCAAGGCGAUGAUCAUUAGCUGGUCUGAGAGGAUGAUCAGCCAGACUGGGACUGAGACACGGCCCAGACUCCUACGGGAGGCAGCAGUAGGGAAUUUUCCACAAUGGACGAAAGUCUGAUGGAGCAACGCCGCGUGCAGGAUGAAGGCCUUCGGGUUGUAAACUGCUUUUAUAGGUGACGAUUAUGACGGUAACCUAUGAAUAAGGAUCGGCUAACUCCGUGCCAGCCGCCGCCGUAAAAC